rnacentral:rRNA from 1 species
AUUGAACGCUGGCGGAAUGCUUUACACAUGCAAGUCGAACGGCAGCACGGGGCAACCUGGUGGCGAGUGGCGAACGGUGAGUAAUACAUCGGAACGUGCCCAAUCGUGGGGGAUAACGUAGCGAAAGUUACGCUAAUACCGCAUACGAUCUACGGAUGAAAGCGGGGGAUCGCAAGACCUCGCGCGAAUGGAGCGGCCGAUGUCAGAUUAGGUAGUUGGUGGGGUAAAGGCUCACCAAGCCAACGAUCUGUAGCUGGUCUGAGAGGACGACCAGCCACACUGGGACUGAGACACGGUCCAGACUCCUACGGGAGGCAGCAGUGGGGAAUUUUGGA